UUAAGAUAGCUAGGAAAGGUCGUUACACAAAAAAACAAAAAUUAGGACCAGGAUGUCAGCAAUCUCAAACAGCUCCGCCUCCGGCUUCGGCUUCCCACCGCGAUGCAAAUUCUCCCGAACAGCGGUGAUAGUGUACCUCCAACUUCACUCCCUUUCCUUCCGCCGCGCAGUGUACCAAGGCAUGCUCCCCAAAGGAGCACAAAUAAUAGUCAGGACUCGGAGCCAGGCCACGUAAACUUGGCAGCUGAUGCACAUGAUGUAGAUUCUCUUGAUCAAGAAGCUGAUGACCCUUUUGUUAAUCCUAUAUCUCAGAGUCGCAAAGGUCGUAAAACUACAGAGUUUUGGGAAGUUAAGAUCAUCGGUAACGUAUUUAAUAUUUUUUCUUUGGUCAACAUGAUUUAGAAUAUAUGUUAUAUAUUAAUUUUCUCGCAUUCUGUCCACAACGGAUACACAUAUAAGGUAUUAUAUUUGGCUUAUAGAUUCUGACAGCACAAUCAAGCCGGCAAGAAUAAGCGUGAGGGAGGCUCUGGAAUGGCCUAACGGGAGAUAGGUCGUGCUCAGGUUCAACAACUCAAAGCAAGCAAUUGGAGACGAAGCUGAACUGUUGAGUGGCGUGCUUGGUCUGUUAGGAUCUGACUAUGGAAAAUUUUCUAUCUUCUGUAAGGAAAGUUGGCAUAAGAUUACCACUAAAGACAUGGUUUAUAACGAAUGUGUCAAGCAAAUUUUCCACUUUAAUGAAGAUAGUGAAGGAACUAUCAAGAAAAAUAUUUUGAAAAGUAUGGGGAAGUCUUGGAAGGAAGGAAGGCUGAGGUUGUAUGGUGAUUUUUAUGAGCUAACAUUCACGAUGGAACAAAAUAUUGAGCAGCAUCCGUCGGGAAUUGAUCGAGAGCAUUGGAGGUGGUUCCUUGAGUAUCACGCCAAAGCUGAGACAAAGG